AUGGAUAGGGGUGAAAGGCUAAUCAAGCCUGGUGAUAUCUGGUUCUCCCCGAAGGCUAUUUAGGUAGCGCCUCGGACGCUUACCAUAGGGGGUAUAGCACUGUUUCGGCUAGGGGGUCAUCCCGACUUACCAAACCGAUGCAAACUCCGAAUACCUAUUAGUACUAUCCGAGAGACAGACUGCGGGUGACAACUUCCGUAGUCAAGAGGAAAACCAUCCAGAACGCCAGCUAAGGCCCCACAAUCAUAGUUAAGUGGGAAACGA
rnacentral:rRNA from 1 species